rnacentral:rRNA from 1 species
CCUACGGGGGGCUGCAGUGAGGAAUAUUGGUCAAUGGGCGCGAGCCUGAACCAGCCAAGUCGCGUGAGGGAAGACGGUCCUAUGGAUUGUAAACCUCUUUUGUCGGGGAGCAAAAGACGCCACGCGUGGCGUUCCGCGAGUACCCGAAGAAAAAGCAUCGGCUAACUCCGUGCCAGCAGCCGCGGUAAUACGGAGGAUGCGAGCGUUAUCCGGAUUUAUUGGGUUUAAAGGGUGCGCAGGAGGAAGGUCAAGGCCGCGGUAAAAUUGAGAGGCUCAACCUCUUCGAGCCGUUGAAACUGGUUUUCUUGAGUGAGCGAGAAGUAUGCGGAAUGCGUGGUGUAGCGGUGAAAUGCAUAGAUAUCACGCAGAACUCCGAUUGCGAAGGCAGCAUACCGGCGCUCAACUGACGCUCAUGCACGAAAGUGUGGGUAUCUAACAGGAUUAGAUACCCCUGUAGUC